UACGGUGAAUACGUUCCCGGACCUUGCACACACCCGCCCCGUCAAGCCAUGGAAGCUGGGGUGUACCUAAAGUCGGUAACCGUAAGGAGCCGCCUAGGGUAAAACUAGUAACUGGGGCU
rnacentral:rRNA from 1 species